AAAUUAAAAAAAAAUAAAAAUAAAGAAUUUUGACAGAAAUCUAUGGUUCCCAAAACUAUAAUAACGUGAACAAGAGAGAAUUCACUCAGGGGCCUGCAGUAUUUGAAAGUUUCAAGCAAUCACUGAUGUGCAUAAAGUUACUUCUUCCUUGAGCAACUAUCAUGCAAGUAUUUCACCAUGUUCAGAAAUAUGAGUGGAAAAGAAAAAUUACUUGCAAUAAAUCUACUUCUCUAAAAUCUGUGACUUGCGAGUUAGCAUUAGAUGGCAGAAGAAAGGAUGAAUGAUAAAUGAUUCCUUUUUGGAAUCCUCAACCAAAUCCCUUACAUCCCUAACUCAAUCUUGUCAUGAAAUGAGUCUAGGGCACUGUUGUUAGAAUCUUACGAUU
rnacentral:misc_RNA from 1 species